AAACCCAGAUUUCUGCGUAUAAAAUCCCCCUUCCGUGUUUGGGAAGACAAACUGCAAAAGUCUACUUUUUCAAAGGCUAGAAAAGGAACAUACUUCAAAGAUCACAAGAACCAAGCUCUGCAACUGACCAAUGGCAGGGACUGCUGGUCCACAUAAAUUUUCUGAACGGAUAGAAGCUCCGGGGAUGAAACUGUAGUUAACGUUGCCGAAUGAAGGGAUCGGACAAGAACUGUCGGAGGAACAUGAUAAUGAACAGCAAGAUCGUUUCAUUUGAACAAGCCAGUGAAGGUUUGGAUUUAGGGAAUUUGGAGCUGUAUACUGGGAUGACUUGUCAGUCCCUAGAUGAUGCAAGGGAUUUUUAUUUCGAAUAUGCCAAGCGCACUGGGUUUACCAUACGAACGAAUCGGAUUCGACACUCGCUAAAGAGCACGUCUAUAAUUGGACGGGAUUUUGUGUGUUCUAGAGAAGGUUUUUGAGCGGCGAAGAAUACACAGAAAAGACACAGGGUUCUUCCUCCAAGGCUGGUUACAAGAGAAGGGUGCAAAGCAAUGAUAGGUUGGCAGUUAGUGAUGGAGGUAAAUGGGUUGUUACCAAAUUCGUACGUGAACACAGCCACAAGUUAAUGGCACACUGCAAAUUUCCCGGAGAGCUGCCAACUGUUAACAUGCUCACUGAGGAAGAGAAGGAUAAAAAAUACAGGAUCUAUACAACAAGCUACAGCGCGAAAAGAACGGUCUGCUGCAUUUCAACAUCUACAGAUAAUU